rnacentral:rRNA from 1 species
AUGGAGGAGAGUCUCCCCGCAGCUCGCCGCCAGCCGCUCCCUCAACGUCCACGACCAGGGCACCCGCUGUUGCUCUGCCCGGCGAGCAACCGCCGACGUGCUCCUGACACAAGCGGCCUCGUGAGCCCGAGCCUCUGCACGGUGGCCUCGCUGUCAACGCCCACAUGGCAGUCCCCGGUGGAUCUUCUUCCCUCACAUUCUAUUUCAGCUCGACAUUCGUUGAGCAGUUGGCAUGCAUCAAGCAGAUGGAGAAGGACAUGGGUGUGGCUCUGGUCCUUGGCCGCCCACGGGAUCGAGGUGGAGGCUGCAGCCGCGUGCAUCUGCGACGCUGUCCGCACACACAGGCCCGCCAUGGCCCCGCCGUGGUGGUACGAGCUCGAACCUAUGCGGAGGUCAAGUCGCCGUGUGCAUCCAUGCCGCUUGCCGCACACACAGCUCCGUGCGAUGGCCGACGCACAGGUUGCAGCUGUUGUCGUCGACUGUGGCAACGCCCUUCGACUCGCUUGGCGUGGCCGCUGGCCACCCAGACGGCGUCCGCGUUCGGCACUGCUCCGCGUCGUCUCUGCGUCCGGACCCGACCUCCCGCCGUCCCACCGGCCCGCACCGUCGUGCAUGUCCGCGACCGCCACCCAUGAGUUGAGGGGUCCCAUCACCAAGCCGCCUAGCUAUCACCGGCAAGAAGCUCUGCUGGUCGCCAUCGACCCCAGCAACGACGCCGCCUGGAUCCCGUGCAGCGCCUGCGGCGGCUACGCGCACAAGUCGUCGUCGUGA